rnacentral:rRNA from 1 species
UAACCUACCCUUAGGGACGUGGAUACCCCCGAGAAAUUGGGGUUAAUCCGCGAUAGGUGUAAUGUCCUGGAAUGGUAUUACGCUAAAGGUGUAUCAUACAUGUUUGAUAUACGCCUAAGGAUGGGGCUGCGGCCGAUCAGGCUGUUGGUGAGGUAAUGGCUCACCAAACCUUUGACCGGUACGGGCCAUGAGAGUGGUAGCCCGGAGAUGGACACUGAGACAAGGGUCCAGGCCCUAAGGGGCGCAGCAACCGCGAAACCUCCACAAUGCACUCACGUGCGAUGGGGCUAUCUCGAGUGCCACCUGAUGAAGGUGGCUUUUCCUAGGUCUUCAAAGCCUUGGGAAUAAGAGGGGGGCAAGACUGGUGUCAGCCGCCGCGGUAACACCAGCCCCUCGAGUGGUGGGGAUGAUUAUUUGGCCUAAAGCGUCCGUAGCCGGCCGAGCAAGUCUUCCGUUAAAUCCAGCGUCUCAAGCGUUGGACUGCGGGAGAUACUACACGGCUAGAGAGUGGGAGAGGUCAGCGGUAUUCUGGGGGUAGGGGCGAAAUCCUUUGAUCCCCGGAGGACCACCAGUGGCGAAGGCUGCUGACUAGAACACGUCUGACGGUCAGGGACGAAAGCUGGGGUAGCGAACCGGAUUAGAUACCCGGGUAGUCCCAGCCGUAAACGAUGCAUGCUAGGUGUUGGGUUGGCCACGAGCCACCCCAGUGCCGCAGGGAAGCCGUUAAGCAUGCCGCCUGGGAAGUACGAUCGCAAGAUUGAAACUUAAAGGAAUUGGCGGGGGAGCACCACCAGGCGUGAAGCCUGCGGUUUAAUUGGAUUCAACGCCGGG